rnacentral:rRNA from 1 species
UGAAACACGGACCAAGGAGUCUAACAUGUGCGCGAGUCACUCGGUCUUGAAUAGGCCAGAGAGGGCGCAAUGAAAGUAAAAUAAUUGUUAUGAUCCUUAUUGUUAUUGCUAUAAGUAGUGAUAACUGUAGGGCGCAGUAACGGCCUGCCACAAUUGUUUAUUGGCAAAGUGGCAGAGUUAUAGCGUACACGUUGGUACCCGAAAGAUGGUGAACUAUGCCUGGGCAAGACGAAGCCAGAGGAAACUCUGGUGGAGGUCUGUAGCGAUUCUGACGUGCAAAUCGAUCGUCUGACCUGGGUAUAGGGGCGAAAGACUAAUCGAACCAUCUAGUA